AUAUAUGGCAUAUAACAUAUAUUUAUAUAUUUAAUAUAGAUAUUCAUAGAUGUGGCAGGGUCAGAUAAACAGUGGGGUCGGAUCAACUGGGGCCGGCGGAUGGACUAAGGGCUGAAUCGACCUUAUAAAUAAAUACAUACAUUAUUAUAGCAGUGACAAUUUUUAAUACCUUGUAAACUACACCCUUUUUCUAUUUCGGGAAGCUCCAACUCCCAUGUCGCCUGCGUGGAAAUGCCGUAUGUUUUGACACCUUCUUUGGUCUUCUCCAAUCUACUUAUUUUCACUUCCACUUCUUUGCCCAAACCUCUUUGGAGAGCUUCCUCAACAAGUCCGGUCUGUUCUUUAAAAAUUGAACAAAAAGUUCUGAAAACGUUCACAUCCGUUUUUUUAACACUGACCCUCUUUCUCUCUUUUCCUCCAAUAAAUUUAUUUUCCUGUCCAAAACAGGUUGGAUCUACAUAAAAUAUCACAACCUCGACAAUGUUAUUGCUGUGGCUCUCAGCCAUGGGGGCUGCCAUAGCUUGCACUAAUAAAUGACCUAAUUGCACUUUUAAAACUAUCGGGCCACUUCAACUUUUUAAGCCAAGAAAGACAACUCAAUGGAACUCUUUAUUUCCGUAAUGAAAAAAAAAUCACGAGAACGAAAAAUAUGUCUCAAUCACGAAGAACGAACAUAAAAUUCCAAUGAAAACGAUUCACGAACAAUGGUUUCAUCACGAAUCACGAAAAAUAAAUCUGUAGAAAAACGGAUCACGAUAGCGAAAAUGCGCCGAUCACGAAGAACGGAAAUAACCCAUCAGCCCCCUCAUCUAUCUGCAACAACAAAAGAGAGUUUUUAACGACCUCAGCUGGCUAUACAACCCUUGCACAAUCAACUGAAUUUUGCAGAAAUCAUUAAUAGGAUAGAUUGCCCUUAUAUGAUAAUUUUUUAUUACCUUUUUGGUUUUUUUGGCAAAGGGGGGGGGGGGGGGGGGGGUGCGCAACAACAAAACAACUUCACAACUUUCUCAUUACUUUGCAUUUCUCGUUAGAUAAAUUUUACAAAAAUUCUCCCC
rnacentral:lncRNA from 1 species